UACAAAUAUUAAUGAAAACCCAUUUGAAAGAAAAUAAUAAUGAUGAAAAUCCUUUUAUUUAUUUAAUUUAUAUUCUAUUCCUAAAAAAAAAUUAUAUUUUAAAUCAGUUAUGUUUUUGGGUCAAGGCCUACUAUUCUAACUUCGCAAGCUAGGGUUUGGUUUCCCUGCAGACUGAGCGGCCGAGCUCUUCCAUUGAUUGUCUAGACACACAAGACACGUGAUGGAGGCACAGACUGAGGGUGGCUCUCCUCCUAAGCCUCGGGUUAAAGCGACGCUUAACCUUGGACCAGAAACAUAUUCUGUGAAUGCAAGCAAAGGUACCAUUUCUGAACAAUUGGUUUCAGUGAAAGAAGAGAGCAUGGGCAUACUGAAGGAAUUCAUCACCAAACAUAAUGUUCCUAAUGACGUCCCUGAUGAACCACUGGAAGCUUCUUCAGAAGACGAAGAUGAAGUCCCCGAGAAUCCUCCUGUGACAAAGAAGCGAAAAUAGCUCCAUUCCUGUAAUACUUUUUUUUUUGGGAUUGAAUCUAAACACGAAUGGGAAGCUCCCUUUGAUCUAAAGGCAAUCUGGAAAUGCUGUACUAGCUAUUUAUAGAAGAUCAAAGUGCAAUACAUUUCUUUCCAUUCCAUUUCUGUGAUA